AUGCACAGGCUUCUGGCCCACCGUCUCCAUCCCAGCCUGGGUGGGUGGGCUGUCCAGCCUCUGCCAGGUCCCCUGGCCCGACACUGCUCACGCUUUUCCACAGCCCCGAGCCCGCCCGGCCACCGUCACUGGCAUCGUCACAGUGCCUCCCCUCCAUGCCCCCUGCUCCGCAUCCAAGGUCACCUCCACCCACCCUUAAGGCAGGGCCCCACAGGACCCCCCAUCGAGCCCAGUUUCCAAGCGGAGGGCCUGGUGCUGAGCAGCCACAAGCCGAGGAGGGGCGGAGACGGUGCAGCCCCCCAGCGGCAUGGCUGUCUGUGCCCCUCCUGUGCUGCCCCCGGCCCGUCGCCUCCCCCCACCUGCUCAGAAGAACAGAUGUCUGCGCCCUCCCCACCUGGCCCGGCCACCUGGCCUCCCAGCACCUGCCCCCAGGUCCCGUCCUCUCCUGCCUCUGAACCCUCGCGGGGGAACAGGCACCGUGGCAGACAGCUGCUGAGGGGAGCCUGGGCACGGCCAGCGGGCAUGCCAGCGGCACUGCAGCUGACGAUGCCAACAGGGAGGAAGGCGCAGGGCUUGGCCCCGGGGCUCCCCAGAGCAGGGGAGCGCGUUCCCAGGGUGCUGGCCGUGGCGGGGGGUGUGGGGCCUGCCGGCACUUGGAGGAGCGUCACUUUCGGGUCCCAGGCCUCCUGGGCCACCAUGCCCCCGGCCUGCCUCCUCCCUCCUGCAGCCGCCCCUACCCAGCCCUGGGGGGCUGUGGAGGGUGGGAGGUGGUGGGCAAACCCCAGCAACCGCAGAGGAGUCCAGGGAUGGCUGAUUGGAGGGCCAGGACCCGGCGGGGACAGUUCAGAGAGGAAACCCACUGCUCUGACUCGAUGUCCAGGCUGCCCGGCCCCAGCUCCAGCUGGGCCAGCAGGUAGCCCCGUAGAGAAGUCUGGCUCUGGGGCAACCAGAGCCCGCCUCCCUGAGCUGGGAUUCAAAUGGGUUCAUUUUCACCAGUUGGGACAGAAAUCUGUGUGCAGAGAAAGCCCAUUUCCUUGCCUUCUUCAGCAGACAGGUGGGGCCUCAAAAACUAGGUUCUGGAGCCAAUUCCAGUGUGAGCGCGUGUGCCCAUGCGCAUGCAUGCAUGAACGUGCGUUGUGCGGGUGUGCGUGUGUGUGCACGUGUGUGCACCUGUUUAUACGUGUGUGCACGUGUGUGUGCACGUGUGUGUGCGUGCGUGUGUGUCUUGGGGGGAAGGUGUUCCCACCCCUCCAACAAGCAGUGCUCCAGUACCAGCUGGGUGGUACAACUCAAUCCCAUUCUGACACUGUCUACCCAGACAAAGCUCAGACCCACAUUUAA
ensembl:lncRNA